rnacentral:rRNA from 1 species
AACGUAGGUGACAAGCGUUAUCCGGAUUUACUGGGCGUAAAGCGUGUGCAGGCGGGGGGAUAAGUGGUGUAUGAAAACGCUCGGCGUUAACCGGGCGCUGUUAUGCCAGACUAUCUCUCUGGAGCGCGAGAGAGGAGCGUGGAAUUCCGGGUGUAGUGGUGAAAUGCGUAGAGAUCCGGAGGAACCCCAGAGGCGAAGGCGGCGCUCUGGCUCGCGACUGACGCUCAGACACGAC